rnacentral:rRNA from 1 species
GUGUCAGCAGCCGCGGUAAGACGAACCGUGCGAACGUUGUUCGGAAUCACUGGGCUUAAAGGGUGUGUAGGCGGUCUGUCAAGUCAGGGGUGAAAUCUUUCGGCUCAACCGGAAAACUGCCUUUGAUACUGGCAGGCUCGAGGGAGAUAGGGGUUGCGGGAACUACCAGUGGAGCGGUGAAAUGCGUUGAUAUUGGUAGGAACGCCGGUGGCGAAAGCGCGCAACUGGACCUCUUCUGACGCUGAAACACGAAAGCUAGGGGAGCAAACGGGAUUAGAUACCCCGGUAGUCC